rfam:Triticum urartu cultivar G1812 contig1242750, whole genome shotgun sequence.
UAUAUACUCUCUCCGUCUCAAAAUUCUUGUCUUAAAUUCGUAGAUAUGGAUGUAUCUAAUACUAAAACGUGACUUGAUACAUCCGUAUUUAGAUAAAUUUAAGACAAGAAUUUUGGGAUGGAGAGAGUAGAAA